rnacentral:misc_RNA from 1 species
UGAAGAUGAAGAUGUAGAUGAUGACGUCCGCGAAAGAAAUGGCUGAUCUUUACCAUAAGGAUCAGCAGGCACAGCAUUGCCAUAGUUCCCACCUGGAAACAUAAACUGUGGGUAUUGAAGACUACUUGAGUAUGCUUCUUGUUGUGUUUGUGGAGGACGAGGAGGAGCAAUAACUCGAUUACUCAUUUGUUCAGUGCCAUGCAAACCUCGGCGAUUAGUCAAAAAACCUAAUUCGCUUGUGCCUUGAACUCUUUCAGGGAAGUUAAGUUUAGCUUUACUUCCUUUAAACCUAAGAGCAGCUUCGUCGUAGGCAAGUGCUGCAGCUUCGGCGUUAUCAAAAGUACCGAGCCAUACUCGAGCUGCCUUCUUUGGAUCCCGGAUCUCGGCAGCCCAUUUGCCCCAUGGUCGCUGCCUCACUCCUCUAUAGUGUCUUCUCCUCGUGUUCCCUUGAUCUUGAACUGGCUGCUGCGGUUGAUCAUGCCCUUGUGUGGUUGAUUGCUGUGUUGUUAAUGGAUUUUCAUGAACUUGAAGAGGAUUAUUGUGGGUAUUUCCAAUAACUUGAGAUAGGACUGCAACCAUUGCAUUCAUGUCUUGUUGAGAUCGAGCUGAGUAGAUUGGGAAGAUGUGAUCUUCCUCUUUCUCCUCCGGUUCAUCGAAUGGAAGGGGCCUCUUCCCAUGAUGUGGAUCCACUUUGGUAUUUAGAGCAUGCAAGCAAGAAAUGAGAGUAAUUUCUCUGGCUAGAAAAUUUCCCCUCCUUGCUUUAAUUACGAGUGUAUAUGUACCAUAUCAAGACAAAGAGGCGUGGGUUAAUCAUCAGCAUCAAGAUCAAGACGAG